AUUGAACGCUGGCGGCAUGCCUUACACAUGCAAAUCGAACGGUAACGGGCCUUCGGGUGCCGACGAGUGGCGAACGGGUGAGUAAUACAUCGGAACGUGCCCGAUCGUGGGGGAUAACGAGGCGAAAGCUUUGCUAAUACCGCAUACGAUCUACGGAUGAAAGCAGGGGACCGCAAGGCCUUGCGCGGACGGAGCGGCCGAUGGCAGAUUAGGUAGUUUGUGGGAUAAAAGCUUACCAAGCCGACGAUCUGUAGCUGGUCUGAGAGGAUGAUCAGCCACACUGGGACUGAGACACGGCCCAGACUCCUACGGGAGGCAGCAGUGGGGAAUUUUGGACAAUGGGCGCAAGCCUGAUCCAGCCAUGCCGCGUGCAGGAUGAAGGCCUUCGGGUUGUAAACUGAUUUUGUACGGAACGAAAAGCCUUCUUUUAAUACAGGAGGGUCAUGACGGUACCGUAAGAAUAAGCACCGGCUAACUAUGUG
rnacentral:rRNA from 1 species